GCCGUAUCACAUUGAAACACCGGUUUUCUUACGAUCAACGAAGUUAAGCAAGGUCGAGCUUGGUCACUAUCUUGAUGGGUGACAGCUUGGAAAUACUAAGUACUGUAAG